rnacentral:rRNA from 1 species
AUUGAACGCUGGCGGCAGGCCUAACACAUGCAAGUCGAACGAGUGGCGGACGGGUGAGUAAUGUCUGGGAAACUGCCCGAUGGAGGGGGAUAACUACUGGAAACGGUAGCUAAUACCGCAUACCAUCGGAUGUGCCCAGAUGGUCUUAGCUGGUAGGUGGGGUAACGGCUCACCUAGGCGACGAUCCCUAGCUGGUCUGAGAGGAUGACCAGCCAAACUGGCACUGGGACACGGUCCAGCCGCCUACGGGAGGCAGCAGUGGGGAAUAGUGCACAAUGGGCGCAAGCCUGAUGCAGCCAUGCCGCGUGUGUGAAGAAGGCCUGCGGGUUGUAAAGCACGUUCAGCGGGGAGGCGUUACCCGCAGAAGAAGCACCGGCUAACUCCGUGCCAGCAGCCGCGGUAAUAC